GAAUGUUCAUAGCUCUUUUAGAAUUUUUUUCUAACAGUGUUUCUGUCCUUGGUCAGAAAUCCCAA